rnacentral:rRNA from 1 species
AGAGUUUGAUUAUGGCUCAGGACGAACGCUGGCGGCGUGCCUAACACAUGCAAGUCGAACGGAGUUAAUGAUUCGGUUGUAACUAGUGGCGAACGGGUGAGUAACGCGUGAACAACCUGACCCAAAGAGGGGGAUAACAUUUGGAAACAGAUGCUAAUACCGCACAAGACCACAACGUCACAUGGCGAAGGGGUCAAAGGAGCAAUCCGCUUUGGGAGGGGUUCGCGUCCCAUUAGGUAGUAGGCGGGGUAACAGCCCACCUAGCCAACGAUGGGUAGCCGAGCUGAGAGGCUGAUCGGCCACACUGGAACUGAGACACGGUCCAGACUCCUACGGGAGGCAGCAGUGGGGAAUAUUGGGCAAUGGGCGCAAGCCUGAACCCCAGCAACGCCGCGUGAGGGAAGAAGGUUUUCGGAUUGUAAACCUCUGUCGCAGAAGACGAAGGAAGUGACGGUAUUCUGUGAGGAAGCCCCGGCUAACUACGUGCCAGCAGCCGC